UCCAUUGUCGAAAGGGAAACAGCCCAGACCAUCAGCUAAGGUCCCCAAGUGUGUGUUAAGUGGGAAAGGAUGUGGAGUUGCACAGACAACCAGGAUGUUGGCUUAGAAGCAGCCACCAUUGAAAGAGUGCGUAAUAGCUCACUGGUCGAGUGACUCUGCGCCGAAAAUGUAACGGGGCUAAACACACCACCGAAGCUAUGGCUUGAUGCUUUGCAUCAGGGGUAGGGGAGCGUUGAAUGCGGGUUGAAGGUGUACCGGAAGGAGCGCUGGACUGCAUUCAAGUGAGAAUGCCGGUAUGAGUAACGAAAAGAUCUGUGAGAAUCAGAUCCGCCGAAAGCCUAAGGGUUCCUGAGGAAGGUUCGUCCGCUCAGGGUAAGUCGGGACCUAAGGCGAGGCCGAUAGGCGUAGUCGAAGGACAACAGGUCGAAAUUCCUGUACCACCGUAAUCCGCUAUGAGCGAUGGGGUGACGCAGUAGGGUAGUGACGCGGACUGAUGGAUGUCCGUCUAAGCAGUGAGGCUGAUGUGUAGGCAAAUCCGCACAUCGUAAGGCUGGGCUGUGAUGGGGAGCGAAAAUUAUAGUAGCGAAGGUCAUGAUCUCAGACUGCCAAGAAAAGCCUCUAGCCAGGAGAAGGUGCCCGUACCGCAAACCGACACAGGUAGGCGAGAAGAGAAUUCUAAGGCGCGCGGAAGAACUCUCGUUAAGGAACUCGGCAAAAUGACCCCGUAACUUCGGGAGAAGGGGUGCCUCGGUAGGGUGAAUAGCCUGAGGGGGCCGCAGUGAAAAGGCCCAAGCGACUGUUUAGCAAAAACACAGGUCUGUGCGAAGCCGCAAGGCGAAGUAUACGGGCUGACGCCUGCCCGGUGCUGGAAGGUUAAGGGGAGUGGUAAGCCUUUGGGCGAAGCUAUGAACCGAAGCCCCAGUAAACGGCGGCCGGUCCUAAGGUAGCGAAAUUCCUUGUCAGGUAAAUUCUGACCCGCACGAAUGGCGUAACGACUUGGGCGCUGUCUCAACGAGAGAUCCGGUGAAAUUUUAAUACCUGUGAAGAUGCAGGUUACCCGCGACAAGACGGAAAGACCCCAUGGAGCUUUACUGCAGCUUGAUAUUGAAUUUGGGUACGAUCUGUACAGGAUAGGUGGGAGCCGUUGAACCUUGAGCGCCAGCUUGAGGGGAGGCAUCCUUGGGAUACCACCCUGAUCGUAUCUAGGUUCUAACUUGGUACCGUAAUCCGGUACGAGGACAGUGUCAGGUGGGCAGUUUGACUGGGGCGGUCGCCUCCUAAAGAGUAACGGAGGCGCCCCAAGGUUCCCUCAGAAUGGUUGGAAAUCAUUCGAAGAGUGCAAAGGCAGAAGGGAGCUUGACUGCGAGACCUACAAGUCGAGCAGGGACGAAAGUCGGGCUUAGUGAUCCGGUGGUACCGCAUGGAAGGGCCAUCGCUCAACGGAUAAAAGCUA
rnacentral:rRNA from 1 species